rnacentral:lncRNA from 1 species
GAGACAGAGACUGGGGGGGGGGGGGUCUGAGGAGAAGAGGGAGAACCAAAAUGGAGGCUGACGUGGUGUUAUCAAAGUGGAGUGACCAGGGCUGACAGGUAUUCUGACAUCUGCUCCCUGAGAGGUGCAGUGGGAAGUCCUGCACUGUGAGUCCAUUGAGUAGGACACACCCAGGCCUCUUCUUUUCUCCAGGAUAUGUGCAAGAUGAGAGCUAGCCAUCAGUCUCCUGAUGGUGGAGAUUUGAUCUGAAGCAUUCAAAUAGGAAAUGAAUGCUCAGAGGAAGCUUCAAAUUUCUUUCUACUUGAAGAAGCUGAAUUGCAGAAGCUAUCUCUGUCCUGUUAAUCACCGGGUCCACAGUGAAACCAGCCAACUUCAGAGAGUGAGUUAAAAGAGAGACUCUUGUGCUGCGCGACCCCUGACUGUAACCAAGCGUCAUUCUCUCUGAGACGUUCCCUCAGAGCUUGUUCUGACAGCCCUCACCUCCAGUGACGAGGUCCACUAACUUUUCCACACGAGGGGUUCUCUGCUUCCCUCCAUCUGAGCUGCGCAAUUCCACCAGGCCUUUUGCUCCUCUUCAGUCGGGUGCUUUGGAGGUAAUGAAGUCUUUCGGGGGGGAAAAUAAACAAAGGAAAUGCACCCAGUUGAUGUC